CAAAUACUAGUAUGUGGGAACGUUUCGAAAGGAACGCUAAUACCGCAUACGUCCUACGGGAGAAAGUGGGGGAUCUUCGGACCUCACGCUAUCAGAUGAGCCUAGGUCGGAUUAGCUAGUUGGUGAGGUAAAGGCUCACCAAGGCGACGAUCCGUAACUGGUCUGAGAGGAUGAUCAGUCACACUGGAACUGAGACACGGUCCAGACUCCUACGGGAGGCAGCAGUGGGGAAUAUUGGACAAUGGGCGAAAGCCUGAUCCAGCCAUGCCGCGUGUGUGAAGAAGGUCUUCGGAUUGUAAAGCACUUUAAGUUGGGAGGAAGGGCAGUAAGUUAAUACCUUGCUGUUUUGACGUUACCAACAGAAUAAGCACCGGCUAACUUCGUGCCAGCAGCCGCGGUAAUACGAAGGGUGCAAGCGUUAAUCGGAAUUACUGGGCGUAAAGCGCGCGUAGGUGGUUCGUUAAGUUGGAUGUGAAAGCCCCGGGCUCAACCUGGGAACUGCAUCCAAAACUGGCGAGCUAGAGUAUGGCAGAGGGUGGUGGAAUUUCCUGUGUAGCGGUGAAAUGCGUAGAUAUAGGAAGGAACACCAGUAAG
rnacentral:rRNA from 2 species